CUCCAGGGGACAGGGAUCACAAUUUGUGGACUUUCCUUGACCUGACAUUCACACCUCUACAGGGCUAUACUAAUAUGUCCUGUGACAGUAACUCAAAGUGUGACAUGGUCCUCUUGAGGGUGCGACUCAUGAAUCCCCACUCUUCCCACCCGAGAGACACAUCUGGCCCUGCAGAAGGAACCAAGGAUAGACAAGGAGGUCUAUUUCUGGGAUGGCUCAGUGGAUAAUCCGGGAUAAUUCAUCUAUCUCAAAUCCUCUAACCCAGUCACACCUUCGAAGUUUCCUUGGCCACGGGGUGCAGCACAUAUACAGAUUCCGAUAGGGAAGUGGGCACUUUGGAGGGGCUGCUGCUCCUCCCACCAGUUUUCUGUCUCCCAGGGAUCUCUGUCCUUAUUGCUGGAUGUCUCUGUCUGGUUCCUGUGUUAUUUUGUCAGUAACACCUGUCUGGCCCUUGCUUCUGUUUCUUGAGUGAUACGGGAGAUGCUUCCUGAAGAAUCCAAGUAGAAGAUCAAGGUGGUAAUAGCUGUGAUCCUAGAAGAUGACCUUGUCCAUGCUUGAAGGAUGGAUCAAGAGGGACGAGUCUGCAAGGAAGGGUCUGUGUUGGAAAUCUAGUAUGUUAGUGCGAAAGGAGGAAGAAGAGGCCCUAAACAAGGACAGGGCUGGAGAAGAGGGGAAUCAUGGAAAUUAGAAGGUGGCUCAUCCACCACCACAGAAAGUGCACGCCUGGUGUAGACUCCACAGUAACAGCAGGUGGAGUCCGGGGCAGGUUGUUCUACCUGGACGUCAGGCUGCAAUCACACAGCCAAGAGCAGCAGGACAAUAGAUGUUUGGGCCCGAGGCGUCACUUGCCCUCCAUGUCAUGCAGUUCUGGGGGAGCAGCCUGGACAAGUUGAGUGCCACCUUCUUAACCCUCCUUGGACUCCAGAGAAAGCUGCAUGUCACCCCCAGCUGGACUACAGAGAGGAACUUCUUGCAAACUGGAGUGAAAUACCACGUCUAGGACAGAGACACUGAUACAACCUAGUGACCUUAGCCCCAGUUCAUCAACCCCUGUGUGAGUCUCUGCACAAUUUUAUCACACAUAUAGGCUCCUGUGUGCACCUCAUUGACUCUUCACAAUCACACCAAUCUUUUCCUCCCCUCCCUCAUCCACAUCUUUGUCCACCUUCCUCCCAUCCCUAGCUUCUGGCAGCUACUGACCUGCUCUCUAGUUCCAUCAUUUUGUCAUUAUGAAAUGUUAUAUAAGUGGAACACACAGUGUAGAAUACUGUACCAGGACUGGUGUUUUCAUUCCACACAAUUCUCUGGGAAUUCAUUAAGGCUAUAUGGGUGUCAACAGUUAAUUUUUGUUUAUUGCUCAGUAGUAGUUCAUGCUAUGGAUGUACUACAGUUUGUUUAAUAUUUAACACUUAAAGGACAUCUGGCUCGACUUUUGUAACGGGGUAUUAUGACUAUAGCUGCUUUGAACAUUUGUAUACAAGCUUUUUUUUCUUGAUGAACCCAAAUUUCAUUUUUCUGGAAAAAUAACUCAAAAUUUAAUGUCUAGGUCAUAUAGUGAGUCCAUAUUUAGUUUUCUAAUAAAUUGACAAAACAUCUUAGAGAGUUUUAAAUUUUUUUUUUUGAGUUUUGUUAUAGACCAGACAUUUGUCUUCUGCUAAAUGGCACUUGUUGAAAUCCUAGCUGCCAGUGUGAUGGUGUCAGGAGAUGAAACUUCAGGAGGUCAUUAGGUCAUGGAGAUGGGGCCCUCAGCAAAGGGACUGGUGCCCUCCCAAGAAGAGACAGGAGAGGUGAUUUUCCUCCUAGCUUUGAGGGGUACAUUGGGAAGAGCAUCACCUAUGAGCCAGGACAACACAGUCCUCACACAACACAUGUGCUCUCCUUGAUCCUGGACCAGAACUGAGGAAUAAACAUAUUUUAAAGCCACCAGCCUCUCCUAUAUCUGUGACGCUGGCCAGAACUGACAAAGAUAGGUUCAUAAACACCGAGCUCUCUUUCCUGUUUGGAAUAGCUCUGUAACAAGUCAUCAUAACAUGGAAUAUUGGAGCUAAUUCUAC
rnacentral:lncRNA from 1 species